rnacentral:rRNA from 15 species
GCUUACAGCCAUACCACCCUGAACGCGCCCGAUCUCGUCCGAUCUCGGAAGCUAAGCAGGGUCGGGCCUGGUUAGUACUUGGAUGGGAGACCGCCUGGGAAUACCAGGUGCUGUAAGCC